rnacentral:rRNA from 1 species
AAUAGAUACCCAGGUAGUCCACGCCGUAAACGGUGGGCACUAGAUGUGGGGCUCAUUCCAUGGAUUCCGCGUCGCAGCUAACGCAUUAAGUGCCCCGCCUGGGGAGUACGGCCGCAAGGCUAAAACUCAAAGGAAUUGACGGGGGGCCCGCACAAGCGGCGGAGCAUGCGGAUUAAUUCGAUGCAACGCGAAGAACCUUACCAAGGCUUGACAUAUACGGUCUAUCUCUAGAGAUAGGGAGUGCUUCGGCGCCGUAUACAGGUGGUGCAUGGUUGUCGUCAGCUCGUGUCGUGAGAUGUUGGGUUAAGUCCCGCAACGAGCGCAACCCUCGUUCUAUGUUGCCAGCACGUAAUGGUGGGGACUCAUAGAAGACUGCCGGGGAUCAACUCGGGAGGAAGGUGGGGGAUGAGGUCAAAUCAUCAUGCCCCUUAUGUCUUGGGCUUCACGCAUGCUACAAUGGCCGGUACAAAGGGCUGCAAUACCGUAAGGUGGAGCGAAUCCCAAAAAGCCGGUCUCAGGUUCGGAUUGG